rnacentral:hammerhead_ribozyme from 1 species
AUCCAGCUAACGAGUCCCAAAUAGGACGAAACGUGCAUUCUGAAU